AUUGAACGCUGGCGGCAGGCUUAACACAUGCAAGUCGAACGAUGAUUCUCUAGCUUGCUAGUUAUGAUUAGUGGCGGACGGGUGAGUAACAUUUAGGAAUCUGCCUAGUAGUGGGGGAUAGCUCGGGGAAACUCGAAUUAAUCCCGCAAACGACCUACGGGUGAAAGGGGGCGCAAGCACUUGCUAUUAGAUGAGCCUAAGUCAGACUAGCUAGUUGGUGGGGUAAAGGCCCACCAAGGCGACGAUCUGUAACUGGUCUGAGAGGAUGAUCAGUCACACCGGAACAUGGACACGGUCCGGACUCCUACGAGACGCAGCAGUGGGGAAUAUUGGACAAUAGGGGCAACCCUGAUCCAGCCAUGCGACGUGUGUGAAGAAAGCGUUGUGGUUGUAAAGCACUUUAAGCAGGGAGGAGAGGCUAAUAGUUAAUACCCAUUAGAUUAGACGUUACCUGCAGAAUAAGCACCGGCUAACUCUGUG
rnacentral:rRNA from 1 species